GUGUGUGUUCUACGUCGAUCAGAAGCUCCCAAAGGAGCCAAACCCUAGCUCAAGCUUAUUUGCUCAAAUUGAAAGGGGAAUUCAACCCAAAUCUAAUGCAUGUACCCGAAUUCUUAGUCAUCUAGCCCUAAAGAUCACUUGAAUAGGAACCACACUAGCAUGGACCAAGCAUGGAAGGCUAGCGGGUCAAGAUGAGGCAAGCAAGCGGGUAUGAACACGGAUGCACAAGAUAUGUAGGUGCGUAUGAUCAGACGUAUGAAUAUAUGAAUGCACGAAGUAGGAUUUAUCGUCUAUGAAAAGAAUGGGACAGGAAUGAGAACGUCAGACUCUUGUAGAAUUGAAGCCGAACCUUGAAGCCUAACUCGGAACAAAGGAAUCCGAGAGGAUAGUCGAAUGAAUCAAAGUUUAUGUUGUCGAAUGUUAUAUGAUUUUUAAUUUGUAUCAGAUUAUUGUUGUAUAACGUUGCCAAUGACUAAUGGUUAAGUUGUAUGUGGCGUCCACAGGUACUACACGGAUUUCUUCUGCUGCUAAGGAAGUGAAGCGGACGUAGAUCGAGUCAAGAGCAAGGAUUGUACG
rnacentral:lncRNA from 1 species